GGAGAGGGAGCAACACCCAAGGGAACCGCGGCAAAGGGCGGCCUCCCCGGGACCGCCGCCUGGCGGCCCGCGCGCGAAGUGCGGGCGCCGAGAGAUGAACCGCGGGGAGCGGGGAGCCAGCCCCCGGCGGGACGCAGGGUAGGUGGGUCCCGGUCUCCGGGAGAGGCGGCCGAGUGACUUCCGAUGCGCCGGAGCUCGGGCCCCGCGGCCGCAGAGCGAAUCCGCCUUCCUCCCUCCGGCCACCGCGCAGACACCCUCAACUGGUCCGCGGGGCCCCGCCGGUCACCCUCGCACACCCGAAAUCCAGCCCCUCCAGCUGGCGAACUGACUGUGACCGCGGUUUCCCACCGCCUCCAGCCCCGGAGACGUCUCUCCUGCCCCGAACCAACCGCUUUUCUGCCUCCUCUGGUCCCAUUUACCUCGGCCGCGAGGGAGGCAGACGCCUUCUUCAGCGACUCCCGGCUUCUAGCCUUGCUGUCCCGGGGCGGUGCUGUCAAUCAUCCUAACUCCGCCCCCAAGCCUGGGUCAGACUGACCAAUGAGCUGCCGGCUCGAGCCGGGAGGCGGGUACUGAGAGCCGGCAGAGGAAAGAGAGGCGACCGACUCACGCCCGGAGUCGCCGCGGGUGGACAGUGUGCGCACGCGCGGGGCUCGGCGAGGGGCGUGCGCUUUCGCCAAGAGGGACUUUGCUUUGUGCGUUCCCUUGUCUGCGCUGGCACAUCCUUUUGUUUGCAACUUCAUGCACUGGAUGUGCAGGGAUACCCACAUUUUGAAUGUAGCCGCCAGUGUGCUUUGACUUGAGAGGAGCUGUGUUAAGCCCUUGUUAACAUAUGUUGAGCCCUUUCAUCCCACGCGUGAGUAAGGACUUGGCAUUCACACAGCAGAUCUUCUGUCUCUGUGGACCUCAUAUCCGGGGUGUGUUUGCGUGUAGGGAGACUAAGGAUUACAGGUGGAGUGUACAAAGCACCAGAUGAAUGAGGAUUUUUACGUAAUUUACCGUCUUCAGGGCCCAGGUCCCAGUAUCCAUGCUGUGAACAGCCCUACGGAGAGACUCAGAUGUCAAGAAACUGAGGGAGGUCUCUGGCCAGCUGUCAGUAAGGAACUGAGGUCCUCUGUCCUUCAGCCUGUGGACUGAGUCCUGCUGACAGCCAUGCAAGUGAACUUGGAAACAGAUCUUUUCUCAUCGGAACUAUGGCAUGACAGCCACCUUGCUGACACCUUGAUCUCAGUCUUAUAAGAGCUUCUGAGGGAGUUGGUGGUAGUGCAGCGGGUUAAGUGCACGUGGUACAAAGCGCAAGAACCAAAAAAAAAAAAAAAAAAAAAAAGCGCAAGAACCAGCAUAAGGAUCCUGUUCGAGCUCCCGGCUCCCCACCUGCAGGGGAGUCACUUCACAAGCGGUGAAGCAGGUAGCCGGUAAGAAACCCAGAGGGAGAGAAGAUAGGGGAGAAGAGAAGAAACAAGGCAGCGUUGCUCCACAGGUGGUUCUGCAUAGGGAGGUGCUGUUUCUCUUACCGAGGGAGCUAUCUCCGGGGGUGGGUGGUGGUGAAUAUAAUAAAUAAAAAGUUUUCAUACCUAAGCACAAAUGUCAUGA